GAUGGACGCUAGCGGCAGGCUUAACACAUGCAAGUCGAGGGGUAGAAGGAGCUUGCUCCUUUGAGACCGGCGCACGGGUGCGUAACGCGUAUGCAAUCUACUUUGUACAGGGGGAUAGCCCAGAGAAAUUUGGAUUAAUACCCCAUAGUGUAAUGAAUCGGCAUCUAUUUAUUACUAAAGUUCCAACGUUACAAGAUGGGCAUGAGUCCCAUUAGCUAGUUGGUGUGGUAACGGCAUACCAAGGCAACGAUGGGUAGGGGUCCUGAGAGGGAGAUCCGCCACAAUGGUACUGAGACACGGACCAGACUCCUACGGGAGGCAGCAGUGAGGAAUAGUAGUCAAUGGGCGCAAGCCUGAACCAGCCAUGGCGCGUGCAGGAUGACGGUCCUGUGGAUUGUAAACUGCUUUUGUACAGGAAGAAACACUCCCUCGUGAGGGAACUUGACGGUACUGUAAGAAUAAGGAUCGGCUAACUCCGUGCCAGCAGCCGCAGUAAUAC
rnacentral:rRNA from 1 species